UUACCAGACUCCUACGGGAGGCAGCAGUGGGGAAUAUUGCACAAUGGGGGAAACCCUGAUGCAGCAACGCCACGUGAGUGAAGAAGUAUUUCGGUAUGUAAAGCUCUAUCAGCAGGGAAGAAGAUGACGGUACCUGACCAAGAAGCCCCGGCUAACUACGUGCCAGCAGCCGCGGUAAUACGUAGGGGGCAAGCGUUAUCCGGAUUUACUGGGUGUAAAGGGAGCGCAGACGGCAGUGCAAGUCUGGAGUGAAAGCCCGGGGCCCAACCCCGGAACUGCUCUGGAAACUGUGCGGCUAGAGUACUGGAGGGGCAGGCGGAAUUCCUAGUGUAGCGGUGAAAUGCGUAGAUAUUAGGAGGAACACCGGUGGCGAAGGCGGAUAACUGGACGGCAACUGACGGUGAGGCGCGAAAGCGUGGGGAGCAAACAGGAUUAGAUACCCCGGUAGCA
rnacentral:rRNA from 1 species